CCUACGGGAGGCUGCAGUGGGGAAUAUUGGGCAAUGGGCGCAAGCCUGACCCAGCAACGCCGCGUGAAGGAAGAAGGCUUUCGGGUUGUAAACUUCUUUUCUCAGGGACGAAGCAAGUGACGGUACCUGAGGAAUAAGCCACGGCUAACUACGCGCCAGCAGCCGCGGUAAUACGUAGGUGGCCAGCGUUAUCCGGAUUUACGGGGUGUAAAGGCCGUGUAGGCGGGACUGCAAGUCAGAUGUGAAAACCACGGGAGCAACCUGUGGCCUGCAGUUGAAACUGUAGUGCUUGAGUACUGGAGAGGCAGACGGAAGUCCUAGUGUAGCGGUGAAAUGCGUAGAUAUUAGGAGGAACACCAGUGGCGAAGGCGGUCUGCUGGACAGCAACUGACGCUGAGGCGCGAAAGCGUGGGGAGCAAACAGGAUUAGAUACCCUUGUAGUC
rnacentral:rRNA from 1 species